UACAGAGGUCUCAAGCGUUUGUUCGGAUUCAUUGGGCGUAAAGGGUGCGUAGGUGGCGGGGCAAGUUUGGUGUGAAAUCCCGGGGCUCAACCCUGGAACUGCAUUGGAUACUUCCUUGCUAGAGUACUGGAGAGGAAACUGGAAUUUACGGUGUAGCAGUGAAAUGCGUAGAGAUCGUAAGGAAGACCAGUGGCGAAGGCGAGUUUCUGGACAGUUACUGACGCUGAGGCACGAAGGCCAGGGGAGCAAACGGG
rnacentral:rRNA from 1 species